rnacentral:rRNA from 1 species
UACGGAGGGGGCUAGCGUUGUUCGGAAUUACUGGGCGUAAAGCGCACGUAGGCGGCUUUUUAAGUUAGAGGUGAAAGCCCAGGGCUCAACCCUGGAAUUGCCUUUAAGACUGCAUCGCUAGAAUUGUGGAGAGGUAAGUGGAAUUCCGAGUGUAGAGGUGAAAUUCGUAGAUAUUCGGAAGAACACCAGUGGCGAAGGCGACUUACUGGACACAUAUUGACGCUGAGGUGCGAAAGCGUGGGGAGCAAACAGG